rnacentral:rRNA from 1 species
GAUGAACGCUAGCGGGAGGCUUAACACAUGCAAGUCGAGGGGCAUCACGGGUAGCAAUACCUGGUGGCGACCGGCAGACGGGUGAGUAACGCGUAUGUAACCUACCCUGUACAGGGGGAUAACCCGGAGAAAUUCGGACUAAUAUCCCAUAAUGAUAUCUGGGGGCAUCUUCGGAUAUUUAAAGUUCCGGCGGUACAGGAUGGGCAUGCGUAACAUUAGCUAGUUGGUAAGGUAACGGCUUACCAAGGCUUUGAUGUUUAGGGGUUCUGAGAGGGUGGUCCCCCACACUGGUACUGAGACACGGACCAGACUCCUACGGGAGGCAGCAGUGAGGAAUAUUGGUCAAUGGGCGCAAGCCUGAACCAGCCAUCCCGCGUGCAGGAAGACGGCCCUAUGGGUUGUAAACUGCUUUUCCAGGGAGAGAAACUUGCGUACGCGUUGCGCAAUUGACGGUACCCUGGGAAUAAGCAUCGGCUAACUCCGUGCCAGCAGCCGCGGUAUCAUACUCGUA